UACAGAGGGGGCAAGCGUUGUUCGGAAUUACUGGGCGUAAAGGGCGCGUAGGCGGCCUUCUAAGUCGAACGUGAAAUCCCUGGGCUCAACCCAGGAACUGCGUCCAAGACUGGGAGGCUUGAAUCCGGGAGAGGGAUGCGGAAUUCCAGGUGUAGCGGUGAAAUGCGUAGAUAUCUGGAGGAACACCGAUGGCGAAGGCAGCAUCCUGGACCGGGAUUGACGCUGAGGCGCGAAAGCCAGGGGAGCAAACAGG
rnacentral:rRNA from 1 species